ACCUAAGCAGUACUGCAGCAAGUUCAUGGUACUUCAAUCCUGUAAUUCCUGAGGCACAGACCUACUACAACAGGUUGCAAAACAAUGACCUCCAGCUAAUACAACCCACAGCAGCCGAAGAAGAAAUUCUGCUUUCUCAACCACCAAAUUUGGAACAAAAGACUGUUGAAGAGCUGCUCAACAUAGAUCCAGACAUGUUUCCCCCAGAAGGCUACAGAUGCACUGUUACUAUCUCACGCAUUGUGCAAAAUAGCAAAUGGUGGUACCCAUCUUGCUCAAGGUGCCACAAAUCUUCAUCUCAAACUUCAACUGGAUAUCACUGCACAUCAUGUGGCUGCACAGAUAUUAACUUUAGAUACAAGCUCAGCUUCAUUGCUACUGAUGGGACAUGUGAGGCAGAGUUCUUUUGUUUUGAUAGCAUAG